rnacentral:rRNA from 1 species
UACGGAGGGGACUAGCGUUGUUCGGAAUUACUGGGCGUAAAGCGCACGUAGGCGGAUCGGAAAGUUGGGGGUGAAAUCCCGGGGCUCAACCCCGGAACUGCCUUCAAAACUAUCGGUCUGGAGUUCGAGAGAGGUGAGUGGAAUUCCGAGUGUAGAGGUGAAAUUCGUAGAUAUUCGGAGGAACACCAGUGGCGAAGGCGGCUCACUGGCUCGAUACUGACGCUGAGGUGCGAAAGCGUGGGGAGCAAACAGGAUUAGAUACCCGGGUAGUCC